rnacentral:rRNA from 1 species
CUAAUACCGCAUAAGCCCACGACCCGGCAUCGGGUAGAGGGAAAAGGAGCAAUCCGCUUUGAGAUGGCCUCGCGUCCGAUUAGCUAGUUGGUGAGGUAACGGCCCACCAAGGCGACGAUCGGUAGCCGGACUGAGAGGUUGAACGGCCACAUUGGGACUGAGACACGGCCCAGACUCCUACGGGAGGCAGCAGUGGGGAAUAUUGCACAAUGGGGGAAACCCUGAUGCAGCGACGCCGCGUGGAGGAAGAAGGUCUUCGGAUUGUAAACUCCUGUUGUUGAGGAAGAUAAUGACGGUACUCAACAAGGAAGUGACGGCUAACUACGUGCCAGCAGCCGCGGUAAAACGUAGGUCACAAGCGUUGUCCGGAAUUACUGGGUGUAAAGGGAGCGCAGGCGGGAAGACAAGUUGGAAGUGAAAUCCAUGGGCUCAACCCAUGAACUGCUUUCAAAACUGUUUUUCUUGAGUAGUGCAGAGGUAGGCGGAAUUCCCGGUGUAGCGGUGGAAUGCGUAGAUAUCGGGAGGAACACCAGUGGCGAAGGCGGCCUACUGGGCACCAACUGACGCUGAGGCUCGAAAGUGUGGGUAGCAAACAGGAUUAGAUACCCUGGUAGUCCACACCGUAAAC